AGGCCACAGGCACCAACACCGGGGCAUUGAAGGAGGCCAUGGACAUUGCCACCAAGUUUGCGGGCCUCAAACUCUCUUGAUGAUAAAGACUGACUAGGCAUUCAACUGUGACCCCAUAAAGCAUAUCUCAAAGACAACCUACAGAGAAUUCUUACAGUUUUGGUAUAUGUAAAGGCAGACCUCUCGACUUCUAAAUUGUUAGUGAUGCUGUAUGAUUGUGUAAAAAUAUCAGGUAUCACUGCAUUCCAUGCUUCAUUAGUGUGUCUGACUUAUUUAUUAUACUGUUUAAUAACACAUAUGUAUCUCUGAUAAAAACUUUUGAUACUCUCUUUACAUCAAUGUAUGUAUGUUUAAAGAAAAAUUAUAAAGAAAUCACCAAGUUUUCAUUGCAAUCAGGGAAAAGGUCUGCAAAUAGCUUCUUUGUUACCAAGUGCUUAUAUAAGUUUAGUUUCAAUGUACUUUAUGUGAUACAAGUAUUAAAGUAAUUCAGUGAUGUAUGUAUGCUAAGGAUUAUGAACACAAAGAAAAUAAAACAAAUGAAGGAAA
rnacentral:misc_RNA from 1 species